rnacentral:rRNA from 1 species
AGUGAAGCGGGAUGAGCUCAAAUUUAAAAUCUGGCCGGUUUACUGGUCCGAAUUGUAGUUUAAAGAAGCGUUUUCGGUGGCAGCCUGGGUAUAAAUCCUUUGGAAUAGGGUAUCAUAGAGGGUGAGAAUCCCGUCUUUGACUCAGUGCAUGCUACUAUGUGAUACGUUUUCAAAGAGUCGAGUUGUUUGGGAAUGCAGCUCAAAAUGGGUGGUAAAUCUCAUCUAAGGCUAAAUAUUGGCGAGAGACCGAUAGCGAACAAGUACCGUGAGGGAAAGAUGAAAAGAACUUUGAAAAGAGAGUUAAACAGUGCGUGAAAUUGUUGAAAGGGAAACGUUUGACACCAGUCAUGCGGGCGGAAAAUCAGUCUUUUGUAGUGAGGAAGCGCGUGGGUUCAGACCGCAAGGCUGGCCUAUGUGUUCUCCCUGCUGCAAGUGAUGCACUUUUUCGUCUGCAGGCCAACAUCAGUUUCUUCUGCUGGACAAAACUCCAAGAGAAGGUAGCAGCUUAGGCUGUGUUAUAGCUCUGGAGCGAUACAGUGGAGGAGACUGAGGUUUUCGCAGCGUGUGCUCUCGGGCAAGGCGGAUUGGGUGCUAUGAGAUCGUUCGGCGUACAAUGCAUGCAUUUUGCGCCGUGUCCUUUUUAUACUCGCUCAACUCUGCUCUUCCACGCUUAGGAUGUUGGCAUAAUGGUUUUAACUGAUCCGUCUUGA